GAGAUGUCUCUUUGUAUGCUGUGAAUAUGUGUGACUCCCAUUGGAUAAUAAAUAAAGCUGCUUUGGUCUAUGUCAAGAAAGCUUACAGCAAGGUGGCAAAUCCAAGCAAAGAUACAGAGAGAAGAAGGGCUGAGCUGGAGGAGAUGCCAGCCUGCUGCCCAAGGAGCAGCAAGAUGCCA